UGGGGAAUAUUGGACAAUGGGGGGAACCCUGAUCCAGCCAUGCCGCGUGUGUGAAGAAGGCCUUAUGGUUGUAAAGCACUUUAAGCGAGGAGGAGGGUACUGGUAUUAAUACUACCAGGUACUGGACGUUACUCGCAGAAUAAGCACCGGCUAACUCUGUGCCAGCAGCCGCGGUAAUACAGAGGGUGCGAGCGUUAAUCGGAUUUACUGGGCGUAAAGCGUGCGUAGGCGGCUAAUUGAGUCGGAUGUGAAAUCCCCGAGCUUAACUUGGGAAUUGCAUUCGAUACUGGUUAGCUAGAGUGUGGGAGAGGAUGGUAGAAUUCCAGGUGUAGCGGUGAAAUGCGUAGAGAUCUGGAGGUAUACCGAUGGCGAAGGCAGCCAUCUGGCCUAACACUGACGCUGAGGUACGAAAGCAUGGGGAGCAAACAGG
rnacentral:rRNA from 1 species